rnacentral:rRNA from 1 species
AGAGUUUGAUCCUGGCUCAGGACGAACGCUGGCGGCGUGCCUAAUACAUGCAAGUGGAACGCAAGGGAACACACCGUGCUUGCACAUCGUGUUUUCUUGAGUCGCGAACGGGUGAGUAACGCGUAGGUAACCUGCCUUUUAGCGGGGGAUAACUAUUGGAAACGAUAGCUAAUACCGCAUAAGAGAGUUUAACACAUGUUAGACGCUUGAAAGAUGCAAGAGCAUCACUGGGAGAUGGACCUGCGUUGUAUUAGCUAGUAGGUAGGGUAAAGGCCUACCUAGGCGACGAUACAUAGCCGACCUGAGAGGGUGACCGGCCACACUGGGACUGAGACACGGCCCAGACUCCUACGGGAGGCAGCAGUAGGGAAUCUUCGGCAAUGGGGGGAACCCUGACCGAGCAACGCCGCGUGAGUGAAGAAGGUUUUCGGAUCGUAAAGCUCUGUUGUCAGAGACGCACGUGUGUGAGGGUGGAAAGUUCACACAGUGACGGUAACUGACCAGAAAGGGACGGCUAACUACGUGCCAGCAGCCGCGGUAAUACGUAGGUCCCGAGCGUUGUCCGGAUUUAUUGGGCGUAAAGCGAGCGCAGGCGGUUUUGUAAGUCUGAAGUCAAAGGCAGUGGCUUAACCAUUGUGUGCUUUGGAAACUGCAGGACUUGAGUGCAGAAGGGGAGAGUGGAAUUCCAUGUGUAGCGGUGAAAUGCGUAGAUAUAUGGAGGAACACCGGUGGCGAAAGCGGCUCUCUGGUCUGUAACUGACGCUGAGGCUCGAAAGCGUGGGUAGCGAACAGGAUUAGAUACCCUGGUAGUCCACGCCGUAAACGCUGAGUGCUAGGUGUUAGGCCCUUUCCGGGGCUUAGUGCCGGAGCU